GAGGGUAUAGCUCAAGUGGUAAAGGGCAUGCUUGGCACGCACGAGGGCCUGGGUUCAAUCCCCAGUACCUCCU
rnacentral:tRNA from 1 species